AGAGUUUGAUCCUGGCUCAGAAUCAACGCUGGCGGCGUGCCUAACACAUGCAAGUCGAACGCGAAAGGGGGCUUCGGCCCCCGAGUAGAGUGGCGGACGGGUGAGUAACACGUGGGCAAUCUGCCUUCGGGUGGGGAAUAACACCCCGAAAGGGGUGCUAAUACCGCAUAAAGCGAGUCGGUCGCAUGGCCGAGUCGUUAAAGUGGGGGAUCUUCGGACCUCACGCCUGGAGAGGAGCCCGCGCCCGAUUAGCUAGUUGGUGAGGUAACGGCUCACCAAGGCGACGAUCGGUAGCCGGCCUGAGAGGGCGGCCGGCCACACUGGCACUGAGAUACGGGCCAGACUCCUACGGGAGGCAGCAGUGGGGAAUUUUGGGCAAUGGGCGAAAGCCUGACCCAGCAACGCCGCGUGAAGGACGAAAUCCCUUCGGGAUGUAAACUUCAAAAGUUGGGGAAGAAAUGCCGGGGGCCAAUACCCUCCGGAGAUGACGGUACCCAACGUAAGCCCCGGCUAACUACGUGCCAGCAGCCGCGGUAAUACGUAGGGGGCAAGCGUUGUUCGGAAUUACUGGGCGUAAAGGGCGCGUAGGCGGCACGGCAAGUCAGGAGUGAAAGCCCGGGGCUCAACCCCGGAACUGCUUUUGAAACUGCCGAGCUAGAGUGCGGAAGGGGCAACCGGAAUUCCCAGUGUAGCGGUGAAAUGCGUAGAUAUUGGGAAGAACACCUGAGGCGAAGGCGGGUUGCUGGGCCGACACUGACGCUGAGGCGCGAAAGCCAGGGGAGCGAACGGGAUUAGAUACCCCGGUAGUCCUGGCCCUAAACGAUGGAUACUUGGUGUGUGGGGUUUUCUCAGUCCCCGCGUGCCGGAGCUAACGCGGUAAGUAUCCCGCCUGGGGAGUACGGUCGCAAGGCUGAAACUCAAAUGAAUUGACGG
rnacentral:rRNA from 1 species